UUAAGUUAUUAAGGGCGCACGGUGGAUGCCUUGGCACUAGAAGCCGAUGAAGGACGUUACUAACGACGAUAUGCUUUGGGGAGCUGUAAGUAAGCUUUGAUCCAGAGAUUUCCGAAUGGGGAAACCCAGCAUGAGUUAUGUCAUGUUAUCGAUAUGUGAAUACAUAGCAUAUCAGAAGGCACACCCGGAGAACUGAAACAUCUUAGUACCCGGAGGAAGAGAAAGAAAAUUCGAUUCCCUUAGUAGCGGCGAGCGAAACGGGAAGAGCCCAAACCAACAAGCUUGCUUGUUGGGGUUGUAGGACACUCUAUACGGAGUUACAAAGGACGACAUUAGACGAAUCAUCUGGAAAGAUGAAUCAAAGAAGGUAAUAAUCCUGUAGUCGAAAAUGUUGUCUCUCUUGAGUGGAUCCUGAGUACGACGGAGCACGUGAAAUUCCGUCGGAAUCUGGGAGGACCAUCUCCUAAGGCUAAAUACUCUCUAGUGACCGAUAGUGAACCAGUACCGUGAGGGAAAGGUGAAAAGCACCCCGGAAGGGGAGUGAAAUAGAACCUGAAACCGUGUGCUUACAAGUAGUCAGAGCCCGUUAAUGGGUGAUGGCGUGCCUUUUGUAGAAUGAACCGGCGAGUUACGAUUUGAUGCAAGGUUAAGCAGUAAAUGUGGAGCCGUAGCGAAAGCGAGUCUGAAUAGGGCGUUUAGUAUUUGGUCGUAGACCCGAAACCAGGUGAUCUACCCUUGGUCAGGUUGAAGUUCAGGUAACACUGAAUGGAGGACNGAACCGACUUACGUUGAAAAGUGAGCGGAUGAACUGAGGGUAGCGGAGAAAUUCCAAUCGAACCUGGAGAUAGCUGGUUCUCUCCGAAAUAGCUUUAGGGCUAGCCUCAAGUGAUGAUUAUUGGAGGUAGAGCACUGUUUGGACGAGGGGCCCCUCUCGGGUUACCGAAUUCAGACAAACUCCGAAUGCCAAUUAAUUUAACUUGGGAGUCAGAACAUGGGUGAUAAGGUCCGUGUUCGAAAGGGAAACAGCCCAGACCACCAGCUAAGGUCCCAAAAUAUAUGUUAAGUGGAAAAGGAUGUGGCGUUGCCCAGACAACUAGGAUGUUGGCUUAGAAGCAGCCAUCAUUUAAAGAGUGCGUAAUAGCUCACUAGUCGAGUGACACUGCGCCGAAAAUGUACCGGGGCUAAACAUAUUACCGAAGCUGUGGAUUGUCCUUUGGACAAUGGUAGGAGAGCGUUCUAAGGGCGUUGAAGCAUGAUCGUAAGGACAUGUGGAGCGCUUAGAAGUGAGAAUGCCGGUGUGAGUAGCGAAAGACGGGUGAGAAUCCCGUCCACCGAUUGACUAAGGUUUCCAGAGGAAGGCUCGUCCGCUCUGGGUUAGUCGGGUCCUAAGCUGAGGCCGACAGGCGUAGGCGAUGGAUAACAGGUUGAUAUUCCUGUACCACCUAUAAUCGUUUUAAUCGAUGGGGGGACGCAGUAGGAUAGGCGAAGCGUGCGAUUGGAUUGCACGUCUAAGCAGUAAGGCUGAGUAUUAGGCAAAUCCGGUACUCGUUAAGGCUGAGCUGUGAUGGGGAGAAGACAUUGNGUCUUCGAGUCGUUGAUUUCACACUGCCGAGAAAAGCCUCUAGAUAGAAAAUAGGUGCCCGUACCGCAAACCGACACAGGUAGUCAAGAUGAGAAUUCUAAGGUGAGCGAGCGAACUCUCGUUAAGGAACUCGGCAAAAUGACCCCGUAACUUCGGGAGAAGGGGUGCUCUUUAGGGUUAACGCCCAGAAGAGCCGCAGUGAAUAGGCCCAAGCGACUGUUUAUCAAAAACACAGGUCUCUGCUAAACCGUAAGGUGAUGUAUAGGGGCUGACGCCUGCCCGGUGCUGGAAGGUUAAGAGGAGUGGUUAGCUUCUGCGAAGCUACGAAUCGAAGCCCCAGUAAACGGCGGCCGUAACUAUAACGGUCCUAAGGUAGCGAAAUUCCUUGUCGGGUAAGUUCCGACCCGCACGAAAGGCGUAACGAUUUGGGCACUGUCUCAACGAGAGACUCGGUGAAAUCAUAGUACCUGUGAAGAUGCAGGUUACCCGCGACAGGACGGAAAGACCCCGUGGAGCUUUACUGUAGCCUGAUAUUGAAAUUCGGCACAGCUUGUACAGGAUAGGUAGGAGCCUUUGAAACGUGAGCGCUAGCUUACGUGGAGGCGCUGGUGGGAUACUACCCUAGCUGUGUUGGCUUUCUAACCCGCACCACUUAUCGUGGUGGGAGACAGUGUCANGCGGGCAGUUUGACUGGGGCGGUCGCCUCCUAAAAGGUAACGGAGGCGCUCAAAGGUUCCCUCAGAAUGGUUGGAAAUCAUUCAUAGAGUGUAAAGGCAUAAGGGAGCUUGACUGCGAGACCUACAAGUCGAGCAGGGUCGAAAGACGGACUUAGUGAUCCGGUGGUUCCGCAUGGAAGGGCCAUCGCUCAACGGAUAAAAGCUACCCCGGGGAUAACAGGCUUAUCUCCCCCAAGAGUUCACAUCGACGGGGAGGUUUGGCACCUCGAUGUCGGCUCAUCGCAUCCUGGGGCUGUAGUCGGUCCCAAGGGUUGGGCUGUUCGCCCAUUAAAGCGGUACGCGAGCUGGGUUCAGAACGUCGUGAGACAGUUCGGUCCCUAUCCGUCGUGGGCGUAGGAAAUUUGAGAGGAGCUGUCCUUAGUACGAGAGGACCGGGAUGGACAUACCUCUGGUGUACCAGUUGUCGUGCCAACGGCAUAGCUGGGUAGCUAUGUGUGGACGGGAUAAGUGCUGAAAGCAUCUAAGCAUGAAGCCCCCCUCAAGAUGAGAUUUCCCAACUUCGGUUAUAAGAUCCCUCAAAGAUGAUGAGGUUAAUAGGUUCGAGGUGGAAGCAUGGUGACAUGUGGAGCUGACGAAUACUAAUCGAUCGAAGACUUAAUCAA
rnacentral:rRNA from 1 species